UGUUGUGGUUAAAAAGCUCGUAGUUGGAUCUCGGCGGUCUGAGGGCGGUUCGCUUGAUUGAGUGCUACUGCUCUAUAGGCCGUGGUUUUGCCAGAGGUCUCGGGGUGCUCUUAACCGAGUGUCCUGCGAUGCUGGCAGGUUUACUUUGAAAAAAUUAGAGUGCUCAAAGCAGGCUUUUACGCCUGAAUAUUCGUGCAUGGAAUAAUAGAAUAGGAAGUCGUUUCUAUUUUGUUGGUUUUCGGAAAUCGACUUAAUGAUUAAUAGGGACAGUCGGGGGCAUUUGUAUUCAAACGACAGAGGUGAAAUUCUUGGACCGUUUGAAGACAAACUACUGCGAAAGCAUUUGCCAAGAAUGUUUUCAUUAAUCAAGAACGAAAGUUAGAGGUUCGAAGGCGAUUAGAUACCGCCCUAGUUCUAACCAUAAACGAUGCCAGCUAGCGAUCUGCCGACGUUUUCUUUGUAGACUCGGCAGGAAGCUUCCCGGGAAACCAAAGCAUUUGGGU
rnacentral:rRNA from 1 species